CACAAUAACAUAUGAAGGCUGUACGCGGCUGUGCCCUCGGGCCAGCUUGGCGGAGGCUGGAGUAUUUAUUACCCUUGUCUUUUGCGCACUUGUUGUUUCCUGGGCGGGUCCGCCCGCCACCAGGACCACAUGAUUAAACCUUUUUUUAUGCAGUUGCAAUCAGCGUCAGUACAACAAAUGUAAAAUCAUUUA
rnacentral:misc_RNA from 1 species